UACGUAGGGGGCAAGCGUUGUCCGGAUUUAUUGGGCGUAAAGCGCGCGUAGGUGGCCUCAUAAGUCCGCUGUGAAAGUCAAAGGCUCAACCUUUGAAAGCCGGUGGAUACUGUGAGGCUAGAGUACGGAAGAGGCGAGUGGAAUUCCUGGUAUAGCGGUGGAAUGCGCAGAUAUCAGGAGGAACACCAAUAGCGAAGGCAGCUCGCUGGGACGUUACUGACACUGAGGCGCGAAAGCGUGGGGAGCGAACAGG
rnacentral:rRNA from 1 species